rnacentral:rRNA from 1 species
CAGCAGCCGCGGUAAUACGGAGGGUGCAAGCGUUAAUCGGAAUUACAGGGCGUAAAGAGCUCGUAGGCGGUCUGUCGCGUCUGCUGUGAAAACUGGGGGCUCAACCCCCAGCCUGCAGUGGGUACGGGCAGACUAGAGUGCGGUAGGGGAGAUUGGAACUCCUGGUGUAGCGGUGGAAUGCGCAGAUAUCAGGAAGAACACCGAUGGCGAAGGCAGAUCUCUGGGCCGUAACUGACGCUGAGGAGCGAAAGCAUGGGGAGCAAACAGGAUUAGAUACCCCAGUAGUCCCUGUCUCUUAUAC